GACGAACGCUGGCGGCGUGCCUAAUACAUGCAAGUAGGACGCAGUUGCGAACGGGAGAGUAACGCGUAGGUAACUACCUAUUAGAGGGGGAUAACUAUUGGAAACGCUAGCUAAUACCGCAUACUAGUAGCUGGACCUGCGUUGUAUUAGCUAGUAGGUAGGGUAAUGGCCUACCUAGGCAACGAUACAUAGCCGACCUGAGGAGGGGGUCGGCCAAACUGGGACUGAGACAAGGCCCCGACUCCUGAGGGAGGCAGCAGUAGGGAAUCUUCGGCCAUGGGGGGAACCCUGACCGAGGAACGCCGCGUGAGUGGAGAAGGUUUUCGGAUUGUAAAGCUCUGUUGUUAAGGGAGCGGUACUUAACCAGAAAGGGACGGCUAACUACGUGCCAGCAGCCGCGGUAAUUC
rnacentral:rRNA from 1 species